AAGCAGCUGUUACUCAGUCACUGCACAGAAACGAGCAAGUGGCAGCUGAAGUCAACCACAUCGGAGCAAAACGCCUUCGAUUUCUAGUCAAAGUCACGGAGCAAGGACGUUGGAAUAAGGAACAAAUCAAAGCAAAGUGUUUUCUGCUCCCAGGUAGGAAGAGGGAGAGAGCCACCAACUUGCAUCAUACAGCCUCCAGACAGCUUCUGGCUGCAAACACGCUGUCUGCCUGGAGAGGAACCACCCAGGGAGCCCUGUUCUGGCUGGGCUCCAUCCCAGGCAGGACACUACCCGCACCCCAGGGACCCACCACCCUGUGCCAUGAGGGUGACGGUGGAACUCGGCCCAGAAAUACCCGUUGUUCCCCCAUUUUCCUUCCCCCUUGCUGAUUCAUCAGGAUUCAACUUCCUGAAAUCCACCUUCAAAACUAGAUUUUUGGACCUAUCAAUGAUCUAGACAAAAAAAAUGUUUUCAAUGUUUUCUGUGA